rnacentral:rRNA from 1 species
GACGAACGCUGGCGGCGUGCUUAACACAUGCAAGUCGAACGGUGACGGGGAGCUUGCUCCCCUGAUCAGUGGCGAACGGGUGAGUAACACGUGGGCAAUCUGCCCUGACUUCGGGAUAACGCUUCGAAAGAGGUGCUAAUACCGGAUAUGAACCUCGCAGGCAUCUGCGAGGUUGGAAAGUUUCUCGGUCAGGGAUGAGCCCGCGGCCUAUCAGCUAGUUGGUGAGGUAAUGGCUCACCAAGGCGACGACGGGUAGCCGGCCUGAGAGGGCGACCGGCCACACUGGGACUGAGACACGGCCCAGACUCCUACGGGAGGCAGCAGUGGGGAAUAUUGCGCAAUGGGCGAAAGCCUGACGCAGCAACGCCGCGUGAGGGAUGACGG